rnacentral:rRNA from 1 species
AUUGAACGCUGGCGGCAGGCCUAACACAUGCAAGUCGAGCGGAUGAAGGGAGCUUGCUCCUGGAUUCAGCGGCGGACGGGUGAGUAAUGCCUAGGAAUCUGCCUGGUAGUGGGGGAUAACGUCCGGAAACGGGCGCUAAUACCGCAUACGUCCUGAGGGAGAAAGUGGGGGAUCUUCGGACCUCACGCUAUCAGAUGAGCCUAGGUCGGAUUAGCUAGUUGGUGGGGUAAGGGCCUACCAAGGCGACGAUCCGUAACUGGUCUGAGAGGAUGAUCAGUCACACUGGAACUGAGACACGGUCCCGACUCCUACGGGAGGCAGCAGUGGGGAAUAUUGGACAAUGGGCGAAAGCCUGAUCCAGCCAUGCCGCGUGUGUGAAGAAGGUCUUCGGAUUGUAAAGCACUUUAAGUUGGGAGGAAGGGCAGUAAGUUAAUACCUUGCUGUUUUGACGUUACCAACAGAAUAAGCACCGGCUAACUUCGUG